rnacentral:rRNA from 1 species
CGCCUUGCCAGCCGCUCAGAACUCAAAGGAAUUGAGGGGCCCGCACAAGCGGUGGAGUAUGUGGUUUAAUUCGAUGCAACGCGAAGAACCUUACCUGGUCUUGACAUCCCGGAGACCCUUAGGAAACUAGGGGGUGCUUCCAUCUGGAAGAAUCUGGAGACAGGUGCUGCAUGGCUGUCGUCAGCUCGUGUCGUGAGAUGUUGGGUUAAGUCCCGCAACGAGCGCAACCCUUGCCUUUAGUUGCCAGCAGUUCGGCUGGGCACUCUAAAGGGACUGCCGGUGUUAAACCGGAGGAAGGUGGGGAUGACGUCAAGUCCUCAUGGCCUUUAUGACCAGGGCUACACACGUACUACAAUGGCCGAUACAAAGGGCAGCGACACUGCGAGGUGAAGCCAAUCCCGUAAAAUCGGUCUCAGUCCGGAUUGGAGUCUGCAACUCGACUCCAUGAAGUUGGAAUCGCUAGUAAUCGUGGAUCAGCAUGCCACGGUGAAUACGUUCCCGGGCCUU